UACGUAGGCAGCAAGCGUUGUUCGGAGUUACUGGGCGUAAAGGGUGCGUAGGCGGCUUUUUAAGUUUGGUGUGAAAUCUCCCGCUCAACUGGGAGGGUGCGCCGAAUACUGAGAGGCUAGAGUGUGGGAGAGGAAAGUGGAAUUCCUGGUGUAGCGGUGAAAUGCGUAGAUAUCAGGAGGAACACCGGUGGUGUAAACGCUUUCUGGACCAUAACUGACGCUGAGGCACGAAAAGCCGUGGGGUAGCAAACAGG
rnacentral:rRNA from 1 species